rnacentral:tRNA from 1 species
GAGGGUAUAACUCAGUGGUAGAGUGCACGCCUAGCAUGCACGAGGUCCUAGGUUCAAGUCUUAGUACCUCUA